UAGAAUGAUGAUACCAAAAAUUAACCAGUUCUGCUUCUGAUAGUUUUAUGAAGAAUGUUAAUCCCACAGCGAACUGA
rnacentral:snoRNA from 1 species